GAUGAACGCUGGCGGCGUGCCUAAUACAUGCAAGUCGAGCGAACAGACGAGGAGCUUGCUCCUCUGACGUUAGCGGCGGACGGGUGAGUAACACGUGGAUAACCUACCUAUAAGACUGGGAUAACUUCGGGAAACCGGAGCUAAUACCGGAUAAUAUAUUGAACCGCAUGGUUCAAUAGUGAAAGACGGUUUUGCUGUCACUUAUAGAUGGAUCCCCGCCGCAUUAGCUAGUUGGUAAGGUAACGGCUUACCAAGGCGACGAUGCGUAGCCGACCUGAGAGGGUGAUCGGCCACACUGGAACUGAGACACGGUCCAGACUCCUACGGGAGGCAGCAGUAGGGAAUCUUCCGCAAUGGGCGAAAGCCUGACGGAGCAACGCCGCGUGAGUGAUGAAGGUCUUCGGAUCGUAAAACUCUGUUAUUAGGGAAGAACAAAUGUGUAAGUAACUAUGCACGUCUUGACGGCACCUAAUCAGAAAGCCACGGCUAACUACGUG
rnacentral:rRNA from 1 species